GCGAAAGACGGGUGAGAAUCCCGUCCACCGAUUGACUAAGGUUUCCAGAGGAAGGCUCGUCCGCUCUGGGUUAGUCGGGUCCUAAGCUGAGGCCGACAGGCGUAGGCGAUGGAUAACAGGUUGAUAUUCCUGUACCACCUAUAAUCGUUUUAAUCGAUGGGGGGACGCAGUAGGAUAGGCGAAGCGUGCGAUUGGAUUGCACGUCUAAGCAGUAAGGCUGAGUAUUAGGCAAAUCCGGUACUCGUUAAGGCUGAGCUGUGAUGGGGAGAAGACAUUGGGUCUUCGAGUCGUUGAUUUCACACUGCCGAGAAAAGCCUCUAGAUAGAAAAUAGGUGCCCGUACCGCAAACCGACACAGGUAGUCAAGAUGAGAAUUCUAAGGUGAGCGAGCGAACUCUCGUUAAGGAACUCGGCAAAAUGACCCCGUAACUUCGGGAGAAGGGGUGCUCUUUAGGGUUAACGCCCAGAAGAGCCGCAGUGAAUAGGCCCAAGCGACUGUUUAUCAAAAACACAGGUCUCUGCUAAACCGUAAGGUGAUGUAUAGGGGCUGACGCCUGCCCGGUGCUGGAAGGUUAAGAGGAGUGGUUAGCUUCUGCGAAGCUACGAAUCGAAGCCCCAGUAAACGGCGGCCGUAACUAUAACGGUCCUAAGGUAGCGAAAUUCCUUGUCGGGUAAGUUCCGACCCGCACGAAAGGCGUAACGAUUUGGGCACUGUCUCAACGAGAGACUCGGUGAAAUCAUAGUACCUGUGAAGAUGCAGGUUACCCGCGACAGGACGGAAAGACCCCGUGGAGCUUUACUGUAGCCUGAUAUUGAAAUUCGGCACAGCUUGUACAGGAUAGGUAGGAGCCUUUGAAACGUGAGCGCUAGCUUACGUGGAGGCGCUGGUGGGAUACUACCCUAGCUGUGUUGGCUUUCUAACCCGCACCACUUAUCGUGGUGGGAGACAGUGUCAGGCGGGCAGUUUGACUGGGGCGGUCGCCUCCUAAAAGGUAACGGAGGCGCUCAAAGGUUCCCUCAGAAUGGUUGGAAAUCAUUCAUAGAGUGUAAAGGCAUAAGGGAGCUUGACUGCGAGACCUACAAGUCGAGCAGGGUCGAAAGACGGACUUAGUGAUCCGGUGGUUCCGCAUGGAAGGGCCAUCGCUCAACGGAUAAAAGCUACCCCGGGGAUAACAGGCUUAUCUCCCCCAAGAGUUCACAUCGACGGGGAGGUUUGGCACCUCGAUGUCGGCUCAUCGCAUCCUGGGGCUGUAGUCGGUCCCAAGGGUUGGGCUGUUCGCCCAUUAAAGCGGUACGCGAGCUGGGUUCAGAACGUCGUGAGACAGUUCGGUCCCUAUCCGUCGUGGGCGUAGGAAAUUUGAGAGGAGCUGUCCUUAGUACGAGAGGACCGGGAUGGACAUACCUCUGGUGUACCAGUUGUCGUGCCAACGGCAUAGCUGGGUAGCUAUGUGUGGACGGGAUAAGUGCUGAAAGCAUCUAAGCAUGAAGCCCCCCUCAAGAUGAGAUUUCCCAACUUCGGUUAUAAGAUCCCUCAAAGAUGAUGAGGUUAAUAGGUUCGAGGUGGAAGCAUGGUGACAUGUGGAGCUGACGAAUACUAAUCGAUCGAAGACUUAAUCAAAA
rnacentral:rRNA from 1 species